CGGUGUUCAACUGGCGUGCCCGCGGGACGUCCUGCCGGUGAGCUCAGCCCGCGAGGGCGGCUCAACUUGAAAUCCCAUCGCGGUGCUCUUCAUUGAGUGUCGAGGUGGGCCGGCACGAUUACUUUUGAACAAAUUAGAGUGCUUAAAGCAGGCUAAAAUUUUGCCUGAAUACUGUGUAUAUGGAAUAAUGGAAUAGGACCUCGGUUCUAUUUUGUUGGUUUUCGGAACCCCGAGGUAAUGAUUAAUAGGAACGGAUGGGGGCAUUCGUAUUGCGACGUUAGAGGUGAAAUUCUUGGAUCGUCGCAAGACGGACUAAAGCGAAAGCAUUUGCCAAAAACGCUUUCAUUGAUCAAGAACGAAAGUUAGAGGUUCGAAGGCGAUCAGAUACCGCCCUAGUUCUAACCAUAAACUAUGCCAGCUAGCGAUCCGCCGACGUCCCUCUGAUGAUUCGGCGGGCAGCUUCCGGGAAACCAAAGCUUUUGGGUUCCGGGGGAAGUAUGGUUGCAAAGCUGAAACUUAAAGGAAUUGACGGAAGGGCACCACCAGGAGUGGAGCCUGCGGCUUAAUUUGACUCAACACGGGAAACCUCACCAGGCCCAGACACUGGAAGGAUUGACAGAUUGAGAGCUCUUUCUUGAUUCAGUGGGUGGUGGUGCAUGGCCGUUCUUAGUCGGUGGAGCGAUUUGUCAGGUUAAUUCCGAUAACGGACGAGACUCUGACCUGAUAACUAGACGCACUUGCGGCAUCUCAAAGGUCCGCCGGCGGCUGGCUUUGCGCCCGUCGUCGCGCGCGAUUUUUACUGCCGGCGUACAAUAAAUUCUUCUUAGAGGGACAAGUGG
rnacentral:rRNA from 1 species